AUUGAACGCUGGCGGCAGGCCUAACACAUGCAAGUCGAGCGGAUGAAGGGAGCUUGCUCCUGGAUUCAGCGGCGGACGGGUGAGUAAUGCCUAGGAAUCUGCCUGGUAGUGGGGGAUAACGUCCGGAAACGGGCGCUAAUACCGCAUACGUCCUGAGGGAGAAAGUGGGGGAUCUUCGGACCUCACGCUAUCAGAUGAGCCUAGGUCGGAUUAGCUAGUUGGUGGGGUAAAGGCCUACCAAGGCGACGAUCCGUAACUGGUCUGAGAGGAUGAUCAGUCACACUGGAACUGAGACACGGUCCAGACUCCUACGGGAGGCAGCAGUGGGGAAUAUUGGACAAUGGGCGAAAGCCUGAUCCAGCCAUGCCGCGUGUGUGAAGAAGGUCUUCGGAUUGUCAAGCACUUUAAGUUGGGAGGAAGGGCAGUAAGUUACUACCUUGCUGUUUUGACGUUACCAACAGAAUAAGCACCGGCUAACUUCGUG
rnacentral:rRNA from 1 species